GACGAACGCUGGCGGCGUGCUUAACACAUGCAAGUCGAGCGGUAAGGCCCUUUCGGGGGUACACGAGCGGCGAACGGGUGAGUAACACGUGGGUGACCUGCCCUCAGCUCUGGGAUAAGCCUGGGAAACCGGGUCUAAUACCGGAUAUGACUCCAUGACGCAUGUUGUGGGGUGGAAAGCCUUGUGCGGCUGAGGAUGGGCCCGCGGCCUAUCAGCUUGUUGGUGGGGUGANGGCCUACCAAGGCGACGACGGUAGCCGGCCUGAGAGGGCGACCGGCCACACUGGGACUGAGACACGGCCCAGACUCCUACGGGAGGCAGCAGUGGGGAAUCUUGCGCAAUGGGCGAAAGCCUGACGCAGCGACGCCGCGUGAGGGAUGACGGCCUCGGUUGUAA
rnacentral:rRNA from 1 species